rnacentral:rRNA from 1 species
UUAAGUGACUAAGCGUACACGGUGGAUGCCUGGGCAGUCAGAGGCGAUGAAGGACGUACUAACUUGCGAUAAGCGCAGAUAAGGCAGUAAGAGCCGUUUGAGUCUGCGAUUUCCGAAUGGGGAAACCCAACUGCAUAAGCAGUUACUGUUAACUGAAUACAUAGGUUAACAGAGCAAACCGGGGGAACUGAAACAUCUAAGUACCCCGAGGAGAAGAAAUCAACCGAGAUUCCGGUAGUAGCGGCGAGCGAACCUGGAUUAGCCCUUAAGCACUCGGUGAAGUAGGUGAACAAGCUGGAAAGCUUGGCGAUACAGGGUGAUAGCCCCGUAACCGACGCUUCAUCGAGCGUGAAAUCGAGUAGGGCGGGACACGUGAUAUCCUGUCUGAAUAUGGGGGGACCAUCCUCCAAGGCUAAAUACUCCUGACUGACCGAUAGUGAACCAGUACCGUGAGGGAAAGGCGAAAAGAACCCCUGUGAGGGGAGUGAAAUAGAACCUGAAACCGUGUACGUACAAGCAGUAGGAGCACCUUCGUGGUGUGACUGCGUACCUUUUGUAUAAUGGGUCAGCGACUUAUAUUCAGUGGCAAGGUUAACCGUAUAGGGGAGCCGUAGCGAAAGCGAGUCUUAACUGGGCGCUCAGUCUCUGGAUAUAGACCCGAAACCGGGUGAUCUAGCCAUGGGCAGGUUGAAGGUUGAGUAACAUCAACUGGAGGACCGAACCGACUAAUGUUGAAAAAUUAGCGGAUGACUUGUGGCUAGGGGUGAAAGGCCAAUCAAACUCGGAGAUAGCUGGUUCUCCCCGAAAGCUAUUUAGGUAGCGCCUCGGACGAAUACUACUGGGGGUAGAGCACUGUUAAGGCUAGGGGGUCAUCCCGACUUACCAACCCUUUGCAAACUCCGAAUACCAGUAAGUACUAUCCGGGAGACACACGGCGGGUGCUAACGUCCGUCGUGGAGAGGGAAACAACCCAGACCGCCAGCUAAGGUCCCAAAGUAUUGCUAAGUGGGAAACGAUGUGGGAAGGCUCAGACAGCUAGGAUGUUGGCUUAGAAGCAGCCAUCAUUUAAAGAAAGCGUAAUAGCUCACUAGUCGAGUCGGCCUGCGCGGAAGAUGUAACGGGGCUAAGCAAUACACCGAAGCUGCGGCAAUGUCUUUUAGACAUUGGGUAGGGGAGCGUUCUGUAAGCCGUUGAAGGUGAAUCGUAAGGUUUGCUGGAGGUAUCAGAAGUGCGAAUGCUGACAUGAGUAACGACAAAGGGGGUGAAAAACCUCCUCGCCGGAAGACCAAGGGUUCCUGUCCAACGUUAAUCGGGGCAGGGUGAGUCGACCCCUAAGGUGAGGCCGAAAGGCGUAAUCGAUGGGAAACGGGUUAAUAUUCCCGUACUUCUGACUAUUGCGAUGGGGGGACGGAGAAGGCUAGGUGGGCCAGGCGACGGUUGUCCUGGUUCAAGUGCGUAGGCUUGAGAGUUAGGUAAAUCCGGCUCUCUCUAAGGCUGAGACACGACGUCGAGCUACUACGGUAGUGAAGUCAUUGAUGCCAUGCUUCCAGGAAAAGCCUCUAAGCUUCAGAUAGUCAGGAAUCGUACCCCAAACCGACACAGGUGGUCGGGUAGAGAAUACCAAGGCGCUUGAGAGAACUCGGGUGAAGGAACUAGGCAAAAUGGUACCGUAACUUCGGGAGAAGGUACGCUCUUGAUGGUGAAGUCCCUCGCGGAUGGAGCUGACGAGAGUCGCAGAUACCAGGUGGCUGCAACUGUUUAUUAAAAACACAGCACUGUGCAAAAUCGCAAGAUGACGUAUACGGUGUGACGCCUGCCCGGUGCCGGAAGGUUAAUUGAUGGGGUUAGCGCAAGCGAAGCUCUUGAUCGAAGCCCCGGUAAACGGCGGCCGUAACUAUAACGGUCCUAAGGUAGCGAAAUUCCUUGUCGGGUAAGUUCCGACCUGCACGAAUGGCGUAAUGAUGGCCACGCUGUCUCCACCCGAGACUCAGUGAAAUUGAAAUCGCUGUGAAGAUGCAGUGUACCCGCGGCUAGACGGAAAGACCCCGUGAACCUUUACUACAGCUUGGCACUGAACAUUGAACCUACAUGUGUAGGAUAGGUGGGAGGCUAUGAAGACGUGACGCCAGUUGCGUUGGAGCCGUCCUUGAAAUACCACCCUUGUAUGUUUGAUGUUCUAACUUAGACCCAUUAUCUGGGUUGAGGACAGUGCCUGGUGGGUAGUUUGACUGGGGCGGUCUCCUCCCAAAGAGUAACGGAGGAGCAC